rnacentral:lncRNA from 1 species
UUUUGACUGUGUGUUAGUGGAUCCGUAGUAACUGUUCCUAAACAAGUUAAAGACGAACCGUUACUAGAGACUGCAUGCCGCCUCUAUAUAAUAAAUAAAUAAUUAUAAAUUAGGUUUUUUUUUUUUUUUAAUUGCCCACUAAUAACUUUCGAAAGGAUAAUAAUAUAUUUGUGAUUUAUUAUCCUUUCGAAAUCUUAUAUAAAAAGAACUAAAAUUAUAUUUAAAAAACAUGGACAAACACGAAACACUUUUUUAUUUUUUCAACAUUUU